GGCAGGGAAGCUGCUGGAGGAGCACACUAGGACAUCCACCAAAAAGACCCUAGCACCGUAGGCUGGGUGUCUGCUACAGUGUCCUGACCAACUGGAGUCACUGUGAGGCCCCUGGCAAGGUAUUGCAAUCAGCAAACAUACUUCCGGUGUUCAUAGGUCAUUUAUUUUUUACAACUGGAGCAAAUUAGAGUGAUCUCAAGAGGAAGCAAAAUGGCAGCCCACACAAUAGUUCUGGAGCCUGAGAAGUCUAAGAUUGAGGCCUCCUCUGGUGAMGCCACGUGCAGCAAAACCUAACGCUGUUUCCUUGCUGAUGGUAACUCUGCAGAGCCCAGAAGUGACCAGGACAUCAUGUGAAUUUGAAGAGCCAAUUCUAAAAUGCAAGCAAAAAUUUCAGAGACCUAGAAUCGCCAAACAAUAUUGAAUGAGAAGAACAACUGGAAGACUCACAUUUCCUGAUUCCAAAUAACUACAAUGCUACAGUAAUCAAUACUAUGUGGUACUAGCAUAAGAACAGAUACAUAGAUCC